GUACAUUCGCACCGUCGCUGCAAAAUCAGCGACCGGGUUUGGUCGCCCGAGUA
rnacentral:ncRNA from 1 species